rnacentral:misc_RNA from 1 species
GAAAUGCGAUAAGUAAUGUGAAUUGCAGAAUUCAGUGAAUCAUCGAAUCUUUGAACGCACAUUGCGCCCGCCAGUAUUCUGGCGGGCAUGCCUGUUCGAGCGUCAUUACAACCCUCAGGCCCCCGGGCCUGGCGUUGGGGAUCGGCGGAAGCCCCCUGCGGGCACAACGCCGUCCCCCAAAUACAGUGGAGGUCCCGCCGCAGCUUCCAUUGCGUAGUAGCUAACACCUCGCAACUGGAGAGCGGCGCGGCCACGCCGUAAAACACCCAACUUCUGAAUGUUGACCUCGAAUCAGGUAGGCAUACCCGCUGAACUUAAGC